ensembl:lncRNA
NNNNNNNNNNNNNNNNNNNGGGCCGGUUUGCUACAGAAAAGCGCCGGCCUGGGGUCUGGUGGGAAAGCGCGUGCAGAUGAAAGGACCUUCAGCCAUCAAUCCCGAGGUCAAGUCAUUAUGAUGGGGGAAUCAAAAAGCACCACAAGCCAUUCAGGAGCACAACAGAGGUCAAUCCGGGAGCAAACCAUUUUGCUCGGAGCCGUGAUGGAAAACAUAUUGUUGCUCUGAGAGCUGCAUCUAUUCAGGGAGGUGGAAAGUUCUCCUUAAAAAUAGCUGUAGCUUGAACGCUUUAACUCGCGUGCUGCACUUGGUUGAUUUAUUGUGCUUUCAGAUGGGUACAUAACGGGUGCGGGUGCGCGUCUGCCUGCCUCAACGUUACAUGCUGCGUUCGUUCAAUGCAAUGCGUGCAGUGCGUGCACCGCGUGGGCAGUGUGUGCACAGUGUGUGCAAUGCGUGCAGUGCGUGCACAGCGUGGGCAGUGUGUGCACAGUGUGUGCAAUGCAUGCAGUGCGGGCACAGCAUGGGCAGUGUGUGUACAGUGUGUGCAAUGCGUGCAGUGCGUGCACCGCGUGGGCAGUGUGUGCACAGUGUGUGCAAUGCGUGCAGUGCGUGCACAGCGUGGGCAGUGUGUGCACAGUGUGUGCAAUGCAUGCAGUGCGGGCACAGCAUGGGCAGUGUGUGUACAGUGUGUGCAAUGCGUGCAGUGCGUGCACCGCGUGGGCAGUGUGUGCACAGUGUGUGCAAUGCGUGCAGUGCGUGCACAGCGUGGGCAGUGUGUGCACAGUGUGUGCAAUGCAUGCAGUGCGGGCACAGCAUGGGCAGUGUGUGUACAGUGUGUGCAAUGCGUGCAGUGCGUGCACAGCGUGGGCAGUGUGUGCACAGUGUGUGCAAUGCAUGCAGUGCGGGCACAGCAUGGGCAGUGUGUGUACAGUGUGUGCAAUGCGUGCAGUGCGUGCACAGCGUGGGCAGUGUGUGCACAGUGUGUGCAAUGCAUGCAGUGCGGGCACAGCAUGGGCAGUGUGUGUACAGUGUGUGCAAUGCGUGCAGUGCGUGCACAGCGUGGGCAGUGUGUGCACAGUGUGUGCAAUGCAUGCAGUGCGGGCACAGCAUGGGCAGUGUGUGUACAGUGUGUGCAAUGCGUGCAGUGCGUGCACAGCGUGGGCAGUGUGUGCACAGUGUGUGCAAUGCAUGCAGUGCGGGCACAGCAUGGGCAGUGUGUGUACAGUGUGUGCAAUGCGUGCAGUGCGUGCACAGCGUGGGCAGUGUGUGCACAGUGUGUGCAAUGCAUGCAGUGCGGGCACAGCAUGGGCAGUGUGUGUACAGUGUGUGCAAUGCGUGCAGUGCGUGCACAGCGUGGGCAGUGUGUGCACAGUGUGUGCAAUGCAUGCAGUGCGGGCACAGCAUGGGCAGUGUGUGUACAGUGUGUGCAAUGCGUGCAGUGCGUGCACAGCGUGGGCAGUGUGUGCACAGUGUGUGCAAUGCAUGCAGUGCGGGCACAGCAUGGGCAGUGUGUGUACAGUGUGUGCAAUGCGUGCAGUGCGUGCACAGCGUGGGCAGUGUGUGCACAGUGUGUGCAAUGCAUGCAGUGCGGGCACAGCAUGGGCAGUGUGUGUACAGUGUGUGCAAUGCGUGCAGUGCGUGCACAGCGUGGGCAGUGUGUGCACAGUGUGUGCAAUGCAUGCAGUGCGGGCACAGCAUGGGCAGUGUGUGUACAGUGUGUGCAAUGCGUGCAGUGCGUGCACAGCGUGGGCAGUGUGUGCACAGUGUGUGCAAUGCAUGCAGUGCGGGCACAGCAUGGGCAGUGUGUGUACAGUGUGUGCAAUGCGUGCAGUGCGUGCACAGCGUGGGCAGUGUGUGCACAGUGUGUGCAAUGCAUGCAGUGCGGGCACAGCAUGGGCAGUGUGUGUACAGUGUGUGCAAUGCGUGCAGUGCGUGCACAGCGUGGGCAGUGUGUGCACAGUGUGUGCAAUGCAUGCAGUGCGGGCACAGCAUGGGCAGUGUGUGUACAGUGUGUGCAAUGCGUGCAGUGCGUGCACAGCGUGGGCAGUGUGUGCACAGUGUGUGCAAUGCAUGCAGUGCGUGCACAGCGUGGGCAGUGUGUGCACAGUGUGUGCAAUGCGUGCAGUGCGGGCACAGCGUGGGCAGUGCGUGCACAGCGUGGGCACAGCGUGGGCAGCGUGCACAGUGUGGGCAAUGUGUGCAGUGCGUGCAGUGCGUGCGCAGCGCGUGCGUGCAGUGCACGUCCAGGCCCUUCGGCAGCUCAUCCCAGACCACCCUGGGGGACAGGCAGUCCGAAGGGAGCUCCUGAGGAGCCCGUCCCAUCUCACCCGAGCCUCGUGUCACGGGCUGGUUCGAGGGCACCGCACCGGCGCUGCC